GAUGAACGCUGGCGGCGUGCUUAACACAUGCAAGUCGAACGGAAAGGCCCAAGCUUGCUUGGGUACUCGAGUGGCGAACGGGUGAGUAACACGUGGGUGAUCUGCCCUGCACUUCGGGAUAAGCCUGGGAAACUGGGUCUAAUACCGGAUAGGACGAUGGUUUGGAUGCCAUUGUGGAAAGUUUUUUCGGUGUGGGAUGAGCUCGCGGCCUAUCAGCUUGUUGGUGGGGUAAUGGCCUACCAAGGCGUCGACGGGUAGCCGGCCUGAGAGGGUGUACGGCCACAUUGGGACUGCGCUACGGCCCAGACUCCUACGGGCGGCAGCAAUGGGGAAUAUUGCACAAUGGGCGCAAGCCUGAUGCAGCGACGCCGCGUGGGGGAUGACGGCCUUCGGGUUGUAAACUCCUUUCGCUAGGGACGAAGCGUUUUUGUGACGGUACCUGGAGAAGAAGCACCGGCUAACUACGUG
rnacentral:rRNA from 1 species